UCGUCACACUAUCAUUAACUGAAUCCAUAGGUUAAUGAGGCGAACCGGGGGAACUGAAACAUCUAAGUACCCCGAGGAAAAGAAAUCAACCGAGAUUCCCCCAGUAGCGGCGAGCGAACGGGGAGGAGCCCAGAGCCUGAAUCAGCAUGUGUGUUAGUGGAAGCGUCUGGAAAGGCGCGCGAUACAGGGUGACAGCCCCGUACACAAAAGCGCAUGUGCUGUGAGCUCGAUGAGUAGGGCGGGACACGUGAUAUCCUGUCUGAAUAUGGGGGGACCAUCCUCCAAGGCUAAAUACUCCUGACUGACCGAUAGUGAACCAGUACCGUGAGGGAAAGGCGAAAAGAACCCCGGCGAGGGGAGUGAAAAAGAACCUGAAACCGUGUACGUACAAGCAGUGGGAGCACCCUUCGGGGUGUGACUGCGUACCUUUUGUAUAAUGGGUCAGCGACUUAUAUUCUGUAGCAAGGUUAACCGAAUAGGGGAGCCGGAGGGAAACCGAGUCUUAACCGGGCGUUAAGUUGCAGGGUAUAGACCCGAAACCCGGUGAUCUAGCCAUGGGCAGGUUGAAGGUUGGGUAACACUAACUGGAGGACCGAACCGACUAAUGUUGAAAAAUUAGCGGAUGACCUGUGGCUGGGGGUGAAAGGCCAAUCAAACCGGGAGAUAGCUGGUUCUCCCCGAAAGCUAUUUAGGUAGCGCCUCGUGAAUUCAUCUCCGGGGGUAGAGCACUGUUUCGGCUAGGGGGCCAUCCCGGCUUACCAACCCGAUGCAAACUGCGAAUACCGGAGAAUGUUAUCACGGGAGACACACGGCGGGUGCUAACGUCCGUCGUGAAGAGGGAAACAACCCAGACCGCCAGCUAAGGUCCCAAAGUCAUGGUUAAGUGGGAAACGAUGUGGGAAGGCCCAGACAGCCAGGAUGUUGGCUUAGAAGCAGCCAUCAUUUAAAGAAAGCGUAAUAGCUCACUGGUCGAGUCGGCCUGCGCGGAAGAUGUAACGGGGCUAAACCAUGCACCGAAGCUGCGGCAGCGACACUGUGUGUUGUUGGGUAGGGGAGCGUUCUGUAAGCCUGUGAAGGUGUGUCGUGAGGCAUGCUGGAGGUAUCAGAAGUGCGAAUGCU
rnacentral:rRNA from 1 species